rnacentral:rRNA from 1 species
GAUGAACGCUGGCGGCGUGCCUAAUACAUGCAAGUCGAGCGAACAGACGCGGAGCUUGCUCCUCUGACGUUAGCGGCGGACGGGUGAGUAACACGUGGAUAACCUACCUAUAAGACUGGGAUAACUUCGGGAAACCGGAGCUACUACCGGAUAAUAUAUUGAACCGCAUGGUUCAAUAGUGAAAGACGGUUUUGCUGUCCCUUAUAGAUGGAUCCGCGCUGCAUUAGCUAGUUGGUAAGGUAACGGCUUACCAAGGCAACGAUGCGUAGCCGACCUGAGAGGGGGAUCGGCCACACUGGAACUGAGACACGGUCCAGACUCCUACGGGAGGCAGCAGUAGGGAAUCUUCCGCAAUGGGCGAAAGCCUGACGGAGCAACGCCGCGUGAGUGAUGAAGGUCUUCGGAUCGUAAAACUCUGUUAUUAGGGAAGAACAAAUGUGUAAGUAACUAUGCACGUCUUGACGGUACCUAAUCAGAAAGCCACGGCUAACUACGUG